UCCCUCCUGGCCAGAGGCAAAACCCUUUCACCUGUAAAGGGUUAAGAAGCUAGGAUAACCUUGCUGGCAGCUGACCAAAAUGACCAAUGAGGAGACAAGAUACUUUCAAAGCUGGGGGGUGGGGGGGAGGAGCAAGAGAAACAAAAGUUCUCUCUGUCUGCGUGUUGUUUUUUCCAGGAACAGAAAAGGAAUGGAGUCUUAGAACUUAAAAUGAAGCAUAAGACUACAGUGUCCCUGGAGCAAUGGUGUAAUGCGCUUCCAACAAUAAACACCACUAAGUAAAUGAAUUGCCACAUUCUGCUCCACCUGAAAUUUCUGAAGAGGUCUUGAUGUGUCUUCACAAGCAGGUGCUGAAGGAUGGAUACACUCUUUUUCAUCUGCAGCACAUCCACAACAUAACUUUGUCAAGGAAUCAUUAUGCCAUAAUUGAUCAAACUCAAAAUAAAUCUUCUG